rnacentral:lncRNA from 1 species
CGCAGCCACGAAGGAGGAAAUCCUGCCCCGGGCAGCGGAACAGAUGGAGACCGUCCUGGGAAGUGGAGCGAGCCAGGCACGUUUUCUCCUAGAGGAGAAACCUCAAAAAUAAGAGUAGGAACGCCUGAACUUGAGGGGGUCCUCCUGCCUCAGCCUCCCAAAUGCUGGGGUCACAGCAUCCACCCAAGUUGUGCCAGGCCCCGGAUGCACACUUCUCUUCAUGGCUGGGCUUCUCAGGUCCUGGCUGGAGGGGGCGUCCAUGUCCCUGUUCCCAUGGGAACAUGUCCACCUGCCCCUCCGCUGCCUCCAGCUGUCCCCGUGUCGUCCUGGAGCUUCCCGAGUGUCCCUCUGGGCCGGCCUGGCCGGGCCUCCAGCUCAUUUUGAGCAGGGGC